rnacentral:rRNA from 1 species
AUUGAACGCUGGCGGCAUGCCUUACACAUGCAAGUCGAACGGCAGCAUGGAAGAGCUUGCUCUUCUGAUGGCGAGUGGCGAACGGGUGAGUAAAGCAUCGGAACGUACCGUGUAGUGGGGAUAACGUAGCGAAAGUUACGCUAAUACCGCAUACGCACUGAGGUGGAAAGCAGGGGAUCGCACGACCUUGCGCUAUACGAGCGGCCGAUGUCAGAUUAGCUAGUUGGUAGGGUAAAGGCCUACCAAGGCGACGAUCUGUAGCGGGUCUGAGAGGAUGAUCCGCCACACUGCGACUGAGACACGGCAGAGACUCCUACGGGAGGCAGCAGUGGGGAAUAUUAGACAAUGGGCGAAAGCCUGAUCCGGCCAUGCCGCGUGAGUGAAGCAGGCCUUCGGGUUGUAAAGCUCUUUCGGCUGGGAAGAAAUCGCACAGGCUAAUACUCUGUGUGGAUGACGGUACCAGCACAAGAAGCACCGGCUAACUACGUGCCAGCCGCCGCGGUAA